rnacentral:lncRNA from 1 species
UCNNNNNNNNNNGUUUUUCUUUUGUAAUUGCCACUUUUUUUUUUUUAAGUAUAUGAACAAAUACAUGAAAAACUUUUUUUUUUUUGACCAUCUGAAGAAACCCCUCCAGGUUUUCGGAUAUGGAUGUCUCCAUCAGCUCUGAAGUCUUUUCCUUUCAUGUCCCAAAUACUAAAAUACAAUACACCAAAUAGGUCGUGUGCAGCUGAAUCAAAAUUUGAUAAGCCUUCAGUGUGUUUUGAAGUUGCACACCUUUGAAAUAGGAAGCCAGGUUUCUUAUUGAUCCCCCCUCUUGCUCCCCUCCAGGCAUUUGAAAGUGGUCUGACACCAAACUGAGUCUGCAAGUGUUAUCCAGAAAUCACUGGAAUUCUAAAGGAGACUCUGGGUGCCUAUUUUGCUCCCAAAUAUCUUCUGUGUUAUGAGCUCAGAACAGAAGCUGCUGAUUGAACUAGGUCUUGCCAUGUUCGCAAGGAUUUGCUCUCUGGAGGGAAAUGUUCAGGUCCUGGAGGUCCCAGUGCCUUUUCUGCAGCGUGGGAAGGAAAGGGAAAGCAGAACUGCUUGUUUCACACAUUCCUGGGCUGCGCUGGCUUCUGCGGUGUCCCAGCACUCUCCCAGCAAUGUGCGAGGUGACGUGGAUGGUGUCUGUCACGUGCUGGUUGUGCUUUCAUCUUCUUCCCAGGGGUGGGUGCUGUGCAGUCUUGCUUCAAAUGUGCAAGAAUCCUGUAUGCCUGUUAAAGACAGGACAGUGAAGGAAGCAUGUUGCCAUCCAUAGACAAAGCUGCUCUCAGGGCUGCGUUACACAUGUUGAAUGGCAUUCACGGGAGGAGGAUGGCUUUGUGGCUGCUUUCACUCUAACAUGAUUUAACUGUGCCUAGAUUCAGUCCGUGGUGCAGAGAAGGAUGCAGCCUGUCAGAAGAGGGGACUGUAUGGCUUUCUCUGUAGUUCAAGAACUGAUUUGAUUAUGUCUAAAGAAAUCAAACUGAAGCGAGCUCUACUUUGCUGUUGAUACAAAACCCUUCCUUUGAUGCCUGCUGUCAGAUGUGUUUUCACAAGCUUUGCACUCAAUCUAUUGGGCCAGCCCUGGCACUGGUGCCUCCUGCUCCACAACCAUUAUGUUAGUGGGAUGGGGAGGUAUUAAAGCAGAUCCCUGCUGGACUGGUGGAUUCUAGCAGGGAGGAUCUCUGUUGCAACUGGAGUGAUCUGGAAAAUAAAUGCUAAAACUUAAUGUCUAAUUAAAAAAAAAAAAGCUGGAUUUUUUUCAGAGCCUUGUGAUACUGGAAUUCAUUUGGAAAGCUCAGCGAUUCGGUAUGAAAGUAAGGGCCUAAACAGUUUCUUUGCUUAAAAAAAAAAAUAAGGAAACGUGUACGGAAGGACGGUCCAAG